rnacentral:rRNA from 1 species
CUAGCCGUAAACGAUGGACACUAGGUGUUGGAGGCAUCAACCCCUUCAGUGCUGUUAUGCUAACGCGUUAAGUGUCCCGCCUGGGGAGUACGGCCGCAAGGUUGAAACUCAAAGGAAUUGACGGGGGCCCGCACAAGCGGUGGAGCAUGUGGGUUAAUGGGAUGAUACGCCAAGAACCUUACCAGGACUUGACAUUAUGGGAAAAGCCGGUGAAAGUCGGUGUGCCGAGCAAUCGGCGUCCAUAACAGGUGG